AAAUGAUGCAACAAAUAGACGAAGUUCAAAUAGACAAAGUUCAACCAAAGAAUCUAACAUUUUCUGAAACAAAUGAUGCAACAAAUAAACAAGGUUCAACCAAGAAUCUAAUAUUCUCUGAAACAACUGAUGCAACAAAUAAACAAGGUUCAACCAAGAAUCUAAUAUUCUCUGAAACAACUGAUGCAAACAAAUAGAAAAGGUUUAACCAAGAAUCUAACAUUGUCUGAAACAAGUGAUGCAAACAAAUAGACAAGGUUGAACUAAGACUCUUAACAUUCUCUGAAACAAGUGAUGCAAACAAACAGACAGUUUCAAAGAAGACAAAAUUGACACUCAUCCUUCAAAUUAUUGUGGUAAAGGUGAG
rnacentral:lncRNA from 1 species